rnacentral:rRNA from 1 species
UCUUAUGGGUGGCGAGUGGCGGACGGGUGAGGAAUACAUCGGAAUCUACUUUUUCGUGGGGGAUAACGUAGGGAAACUUACGCUAAUACCGCAUACGACCUACGGGUGAAAGCAGGGGAUCUUCGGACCUUGCGCGAUUAAAUGAGCCGAUGUCGGAUUAGCUAGUUGGCGGGGUAAAGGCCCACCAAGGCGACGAUCCGUAGCUGGUCUGAGAGGAUGAUCAGCCACACUGGAACUGAGACACGGUCCAGACUCCUACGGGAGGCAGCAGUGGGGAAUAUUGGACAAUGGGCGCAAGCCUGAUCCAGCCAUGCCGCGUGGGUGAAGAAGGCCUUCGGGUUGUAAAGCCCUUUUGUUGGGAAAGAAAAGCACGGGGCUAAUACCCUUGUGUUCUGACGGUACCCAAAGAAUAAGCACCGGCUAACUUCGUGCCAGCAGCCGCGGUAAUACGAAGGGUGCAAGCGUUACUCGGAAUUACUGGGCGUAAAGCGUGCGUAGGUGGUGAUUUAAGUCCGUUGUGAAAGCCCUGGGCUCAACCUGGGAAUUGCAGUGGAUACUGGGUCACUAGAAUGUGGUAGAGGGUAGCGGAAUUCCUGGUGUAGCAGUGAAAUGCGUAGAGAUCAGGAGGAACAUCCAUGG